UACGAAGGGGGGCUAGCGUUGCUCGGAAUCACUGGGCGUAAAGGGCGCGUAGGCGGCCAUUUGAGUCGGGGGUGAAAGCCUGUGGCUCAACCACAGAAUUGCCUUCGAUACUGGAUGGCUUGAGACCGGAAGAGGUAAGUGGAACUGCGAGUGUAGAGGUGAAAUUCGUAGAUAUUCGCAAGAACACCAGUGGCGAAGGCGGCUUACUGGUCCGGUUCUGACGCUGAGGCGCGAAAGCGUGGGGAGCAAACAGG
rnacentral:rRNA from 1 species